AAAGCGGCAACUGAUUCCGAUGUUCCCCAGAAAGUCUCAGCGAUUCAGUGCGCUGAUGAGAAGCCACCGCUGUUGGCUCCUGUGGAUGCAAAGGUAUCCGAAGCUGUCGAUCCAGUCAAGCCUGAAACUGUCGAUGCGGCCAAGCCUGAAACUGUCGAUGCGGCCAAGCCUGAAACUGUCGAUGUGGCCAAGCCUGAAACUGUCGUUGCAGCCCAGCCUGAAACUGUCGUUGCAGCCCAGCCUGAAACUGUGGUUGCAGCCCAGCCUGAAACUGUGGUUGCAGCUGAGCCUGAAACUGUUGACAGAUUCAAUGUGGAUGAAGCUACCAUUAUUUUCAUCCAAGCCACUAUAAGGAGUUUCCUG
rnacentral:lncRNA from 1 species